GGCUACACUGAGGCCAAUGAGAGGAAAACUGGCUAGAGGGAGAUAAUAUCAAAUCUGCACGUGAUGACUGCAUCUUGUUCCAACUACCUGUAACUUUCUUCGAAUAGAACCUUCCUCUGGAAACCAGCACCUGAUGGGAGAACAGUGGAGUCUGACCCUAACAGUCAAUUCUCCAAGAUGUAAGGACGUAUUUCUAGUUUGUGGCUUUGCCUCCAAGGAUCCGGUCAGUUAGAGGCAACCCUCCUGGGAAGUAUCUUUCCAAUGAGGAUUGCUAUAAACAUUCCU